rnacentral:rRNA from 1 species
GAUUGCGAUCAUACCAGCACUAAUGCACCGGAUUCCAUCAGAACUCCACAGUUAAGCGUGCUUGGGCGAGAGUAGUACUAGGAUGGGUGACCCCCUGGGAAGUCCUCGUGUUGCAACCC